UACGAAGGGGGCUAGCGUUGUUCGGAAUUACUGGGCGGAAAGGGUUCGUAGGUGGCCAACUAAGUCAGACGUGAAAUCCCUCGGCUCAACCGGGGAACUGCGUCUGAUACUGGUUGGCUUGAGUGCAGGAGAGGAACGCGGAAUUCCAGGUGUAGCGGUGAAAUGCGUAGAUAUCUGGAGGAACACCGGUGGCGAAGGCGGCGUUCUGGACUGCAACUGACACUGAGGAACGAAAGCCAGGGGAGCAAACGGG
rnacentral:rRNA from 1 species